rnacentral:tRNA from 1 species
CAUUAAAGAAUUAAGGGCGUAUGGAGGAUGCCUUGACACGAAAGAGCGAAGAAGGUCGUGGCGUGACUGCGAUAAGCUUCGGGGAGCCGUCUAGCGGGCUUUGAUCCGGAGAUGACCGAAUGGGGGAACCCCAUCGAGCAAACCUCGAUGACCCGGCGCAAGCUGGGAGCGUACCUGGCGAAGUGAAACAUCUCAGUAGCCAGAGGAAAAGAAAUCAACAAGAUUCCCUUAGUAGCGGCGAGCGAAAAGGGAUAAGCCUAAACUUUUUUAACGCAAGUUAAAAAGGGGUAAUAAGGAUAGAACACUUGAAUUUUUAUCGUUGCGCUUUCGAAGGCAGCGGUAAAAAUUUGAAAGAAGUUACAAAUUCCAAAGUUAGCAGAACGGCCUUGGAACAGCCGGCCAAAGAAGGUGAUAGCCCUGUAAGCGAAAACUUCUGGAACUUCUGUUUUAUUGCGGCGCAAGCCGCCUUGCUUGAGUAGCCCGGGAUAAGAAUGUCCUGGGUGAAUUUGCCCAUACUACUGGGUAAGGCUAAAUAUCUUUCGUGAUCGAUAGUGAACCAGUACCGUGAGGGAAAGGUGAAAAGCACCCCGGUGAGGGGAGUGAAAUAGCAACUGAAACCAUAUGCCUACAAAGAGCGGAAGUCCUUCGGCGGCAGCAAUGCCGUCUGGGAUGACCGUGUGCCUAUUGAAGAAUGACCCAACGAGUUUAUCCAAAUUGCUCUAUAAGUGCCUCUGGCACGUAUGGAAAGGGAAACCGAGUGUUAAAAGCGCGUAUUAGAACUAAAUAAAAUUUUCUUUAAAAAGAAAGUUUUAAUAGUUCUAGAAGCAGUUUGGGUAAGACCCGAAGCCAGGCGAGCUAACCAUGCCCAGGAUGAAGGUUGUCGAAAGACAACUGGAGGUCCGAACUGGUUGGUAGCGCAAUACCAUCGGAUGAGGUGUGGUUCGUAGUGAAAAGCUUAUCGAGCCUGGUAAUAGCUGGUUCUCCCCGAAAUGCCUUUAGGGGCAGCGGCGGAUUGUAGUUGAGGGGGUAGAGCACUGAUUGGUUUGCCGUGCCCGCAAGGGUAGGCUUACCAAAUAAACUCCGAAUACCUCAGCGUAAUUUCCGCCAGUGAGUAAGCGAGGGCAAAGCUUCGUUUACGCGAGGGAAACAGCCCAGAUCAUCAAUUAAGGUCCCAAAAUCUAUGCUAAGUGAAAAGGAAGUAUUCUGCCUUAGACAGGUAGGAUGUUGGCUUAGAAGCAGCCAUCAUUUAAAAAGUGCGUAAUAGCUUACUACUCGAUUUCGCCGCAAGGCGACGAGGCAGGAUGCGCCGAAAAUUUAUAGGGGCUAAGCAUAGUACCGAAAUUAUGGGUUUGAUGAUUUCGAAAAGGAUUUGUGGUGCCGUAGCUCAGUCAGAGCACUGGGUCCCGGGCCCAGAGGUCGACGGUUCAAAUCCGUCCGGCGCCACCAACCUGUCGGAUUAAAAUCAGGCGAGACCUGAUAAUCCGAUCUUUUUCGAAAUCAUCAAGCGGUAGGGGAGCAUUCUGAUUGCUGUGAAGGUGAACUGUGAAGUUUGCUGGAGCGUUCAGAAGGGAGAAUGUUGGGAUGAGUAACCGCAAGUGGCGUGAAAACCGCCACCGCCGAAAGCCUAAGGUUUCCUCCGCGAUGUCAAUCAUCGGAGGGUUAGGCGUCCCUAAGCGUAACCUAGCUUGCGGGCUAGGGAUCGCGAUGGUGAGCCGGUUAAUAUUCCGGCCCCGCUUACAUAUUCGAAGGAGUGACGGGCUAAAUUAGAUCGAGCGCAUUAUUGGAUUUGACGUCUUUGCUCAUAGAGUGGGAACCAGGCAAAUCCGGUUCCAGCCGAAAGGCGCACUCGAGAGUGAAAGAAAUGGCCGUUAGGCCAGAUUCGAUUGACGAGGGCUCCAAGAAAAGCUUCUAAGAUUAAUAUGUAAGCGCACGUACCGAAAACCGAAACAGGUGGGCUGGUGUAAGUGCACCAAGGCGAACGGGUGAUUAUUGGCUAAGGAACUCGGCANNNNNNNNNNNNNNNNNNGGGCUGGUGUAAGUGCACCAAGGCGAACGGGUGAUUAUUGGCUAAGGAACUCGGCAAAAAAGCGGCCGUAAGUUCGCGAUAAGGCCUUCCCCAGCUAACGCAAGUUAGAUGGGGACGCAGCUAAAGACCCUCUGGCGACUGUUUAUCAAAAACACAACUCCGUGCUAAGCCGUAAGGCGCUGUAUACGGGGUGACGCUUGUCCGGUGCCGGAACGUUAACGGUGAAGGUGGCGGGUAGCAAUACCCUCUGCCAACGCCCGAAGCGCCGGUGAACGACGGCAGUAACUAUAACUGUCUAAAAGUAGCAAAAUACCUUGUGGGGUAAGUUCCCACGCGCAUGAAUAGCGGAACGACUGGAGGACUGUCUCAGCCAAUAGCCCGGUGAAAAUGCAAUGUCGGUAAAGAUGCCGACUACCCGCACCUAGACGGAAAGACCCCGGAAGCUUUACUGUAGCUUGGUAUUGGUCUAUGGGUUUUAAUGCGUAGCGUAGUGGGUACACUUUGAAGCGUCUCUCUCGGGAGACGUGGAGUGGCCAAUGAAACACCCAUCUUUAAAAUCUAUAGCUCUAACCGGUGACACCCUAAAAGCGUGAAAUGAAAAUUUCAAAUUUUUAGGGUUUCAUCGAGACAGUGCCUGGCGGGCAGUUUUUGUGGGGCACAAUCCUCCUAAAAGGUAAUGGAGGAGUUCAUCAAGGUUGGCUAGCUCCGGAUGGAAAUCGGAGCGAUAGUGUAAAGGCACAAGCCAGCUUAACUGCAAGGCGGAUAUGCCGCGCAGAUGCGAAAGCAGGACCUAGUGAACCGACCGUGGCUCGUAGGAGCGCGGAAGAUCAUCAGAUAAAAGCUACUCCGGGGAUAAACUCUGCGUAACACAUACAUAAUUUUGUGUUACAAUAAGAGUAUGUUGUCCCGUUUGUCCGUAAGGACAAACAUGAUUACGGCUUAUAACGAAGAACCUAUAGAACGGUCUUUCCUGUGCGAAAGCACAUUUCUCUUCUAUAGCAACCUCGUGGGAAGUCGUGAGCGUCUUGAAUCUAAACAAAACACAAUUAGCUGUAAUUUACGGCUCAAUUAUGGGCGAUGCUUAUUUGCAGUCCAACGGCACGAAUGCCAGAUUGCGAUUUGAACAUUCUCUUAAUCAAGAGCAGUACGUUGUUUGGAAAUUUAAUUUCCUAAAGAAUAUAUUUUCAGAUUCGGCUAUUGUAAAAAUUAACAGGAUUCAUCCUAAAACCAAGCAAGAAUAUAAAUACGUUCGAUGCCAAUCUAAAACAUUGCCGGAAUUGAAGAAAAUUAAAGUUAUUUUCUAUCCAGCGGGCAAAAAGAUUGUGCCGUUAAGUAUUAAAAAGUAUUUGAUAGAACCUAUUUCUCUUGCGGUGUGGUUUAUGGAUGACGGAUAUUAUUAUCUUAGAGAUAAAUGCGGAUAUUUAUAUCUUGGAAAUAUAACGAAAGAAGAAGCUGAAGUUUGCAGCGAUACCUUGCAGAAUAAUUUUAAUCUAAAAACUAAGGUUCUAGCAAAGAAAAAAGGGUAUGCGUUAUAUUUUUCAAGAUUAGAGAUGUUAAAACUCAAAAAAGUAGUUUCUGAAUUCAUGAUCCCAAUGUUUAGAUACAAGUUACCUCAUUGACCCCGUAACGACUUGUUCUGGGUACAGUUUUUAAAAACUGGCCAGACUUAUAGCCCCCAUUCAUUAAUGGCUAUAAUACGCCGUCUCCAGUCUUUUUACAGAAAAAGCUGGAUGAAGAUAUAGUCUAAUACAUUAAUGUAUUGAACAGGCUGGUACCGCCCGAGCGUCCUUAGCGACGGCGGUGUUCGGCACCUCGAUGUCGGCUCGGCUUAUCCUGGGACUGAAGAAGGCCCCAAGGGUUUGGCUGUUCGCCAAUUAAAAAGCUACGCGAGAAAUCACGUGUCCAAGUAGUAAUAUUUGGAGCGAGCCAAAUAUAUUUCUUUAUGUUAAAAUUAAAGAAAUAUAUACUCUAGCUUAUAUCGGUAGAACCCAUGAAAAUUAACCCCUUUCACGGGCAGUACCGAGGGAAGAUUAGCUAGGAAUUAAUGCUUACGAGAGAAGAAAAGAAUAUUUUAGUCGGUUCACUUCUCGGAGAUGGAUGUUUAAGAAUAAUGCAGAAAUGCAAAGUUCCAGCAUUCUCAGUUUCUCAUAGUGAAGUUCAGAAAGACUACGUUUUUUGGAAGUAUGAGAAAUUAAAACGGUGGGUUAAAAAUCCGCCGUGGCGAGAAGAGAGAAUCUACCACAAAGAUAAAAGUAGAAAAACUUUUUCUUGGAGAUUUCAAACUUUAAGCAAUGAAGUAUUUUCUGAUUUGUAUCAAACUUUCUAUGAAAAUGGAAAGAAAAUUAUACCGGAAAAUAUAGAAUUUCUGCUUAAAGAUUCACCAUUGAUAUUGGCUGUAUGGCUAAUGGACGAUGGGAAUAAAAAUCAUCAAGCGGUUUUUCUUAACACCCAAUCAUUCUCUCUGAGUGAGCAACAGAAGCUAUGCCAGGUGUUGCAUAAAAUCUAUGGAUUUGAUGCGAAUAUAAACAAACAUAGUAAAAGCAAUGGAGUAGAACUGUAUAGAAUUAGAAUAAAUACCGAGAGCACACGAAAAUUAAAAACCGUUGUGAAGAAUUAUUUAUUACCACUGUUUUACUAUAAAAUUCCUGACUUUUCCCCGUAACGACUUGUGAGUUUAGCUCACAGAUAGUAAGUGAGGAGACUCCUUCGACUGAAGGAAUCAAAGGCUUACUAUAAAACGCUGGUACCCGAACCGAGCUUAGCUCGGAGGGUAGAGAUAUAGUCUGUGCCCCUAGUGAUAGGGGAAGAAUAAAAAACACGGAGCUGGGUUCAAACCGUCGUGAGACAGGUUGGUCCAUAUCUGGUGCGGGCGUUGAUACUUGAGAGGAGUUGUCCCUAGUAAAUAAUUGCUACUUCGCGAAGUAAUUCGCGAUGACAAUUCGGCUAAUAACGGUGGAUGCUCUUGUUUGCCAUGCAAUUCGGUCCGAAAAGCAUGAAUUAAAACUGCCAAGAGUUAAUACCGUGGGAAGUCACCCGCUCAAAUUUUUGGAAAAAAAAUGGCACAACCGAAGUUGUGCAUAGAACUGAUGUUGGGUUUAACUUAAUAGUAAUGAGCGGUAUCGGCAGUAGGUUCAACAAAUGCUUUGUACAAGUAUGUUCCAUCCACACGACCUACCUCAUCUCGUAUUUCGCCUUGGAGUGUGAAAUCUCCAGAGAGACGAUAGUUUCGGCCCUUGAACGGACCGUACUUCAUGGAUACGACCCGACCAUGUAAGGGGACCGUAUCGAGGCAAAUCUGUCCGACAUAACAGAGGGGUUCUCGAGUGUACAGAUAGAUUAUAGCAGUUAUCAUGAUUGCCUCCCCUGAGAUACCAACUUAAAAAGCAUAACGAUUUAUUUUAUAAAUGUCAAGAUUAAACUUGACUCCAAAAAUUUGAGCGUGGUUGACCCCGUAACGACUUGGCCCAUCAUUUAUUGAUGGCCGGAUGGAAAUCUUUUCAGCUUCCAUAAUAUGCCGAUCCCCGAUUCGCCUUUUGCUGGGCUUGCUAUGAGCGAGCAUAGCGAGUCGAAGGGGAAAGAUAUAGUCUGCACUUCUAGUGAUAGGAGAUUAUGUGACGAGAGGACCGGGAUGAACGAACCUCUGGUCUACGAGCUGUCCUGCCAAGGGCAUUGCUCGGUAGCUAUGUUCGGUUCUGAUAAGCGCUGAAAGCAUAUAAGCGCGAAGCAGGCCUCAAGAUUAGGUAUCGUAGAUCCGCAGUAGACUACUGCGUUAAUAGGACUCAGGUGUAAGCACAGUAAUGUGUUGAGCCGAGAGCCACUAAUAGAUCAUCU